GGACCCGCACAAGCGGUGGAGUAUGUGGUUUAAUUCGAUGCAACACGAAGAACCUUACCAGGGUUUGAAAUCAUUUCAAAACUCCUUGAAAGAGGAGCCUCCUUCGGGAUGAAAUGACAGGUGGUGCAUGGCUGUCGUCAGCUCGUGUUGUGAAAUGUCGAGUUAAGUCUCGUAACGAGCGCAACCCAUGUCUCUUGUUGCUCACUGAGUGCUUAAGAGAGACUGCCGACCAACAUCGGAGGAAGGUGUGGAUGAUGUCAAGUCAGCAUGCCCCUUACAUCCUGGGCUACACACGUACUACAAUGGUAGGGACAAUGAGCUGCGAUCCUGCGAAGGCUAGCCAAUCUCAAAAACCCUAUCUCAGUUCGGAUUGUACUCUGCAACUCGACUCCUUGAAGUUGGAGUCGCUAGUAA
rnacentral:rRNA from 1 species